UUACCUGGCGAUUCGAAGGCGCAGGCGACAGCAACAGAUCGAGCACUCCCGGAGAAUUCUAUCUUCCUCCUCCUCUCAGUCCCUUCCCCUCUGUUCGUGUGUUUCUGUUUGUUGGGUUUUUUUUUCUUACCGUCUGCUCUCCUCUGCUUUCCUCUUCUGUUCGUGUUCUCUGCCUUCUCACCGCUGCGUUCACUGUUCUCCCUUCUUCUCAGUUCUUGAGGUGAGCUAACUAAGAAAGUAAUGCAUAUGCCAUCUUUACUGAGUUUUUUUACUGACUUCGGGUUCUUCUUUUUCUGCAGGGACGAAGACAGUAACAAGGCUGAUUCUUCUCUGUGUUGCCCCUCCCUUUUCUCCUUCUCUCUGUGAAUUUGUGCUUUGGAUUUAUGCUCUGCUUUUCUCUCUCUUCUUUUCUCUGAUUUUGUUCUCUGGUUUUUCGUCUGGGUUUAGCUAGAGUUUUUCCUCGGUUUCUCGUCCAAAAUCCCACUGUUUUCCCUCCUUUCAGCCCCCGGUUUUUCUUCCUUUUUCCCCUCCCGCGCUCUCUCGUCUCUCUGGCUUUAUAACCAGAGAAUACCAACCAUUUGAAACGGCUUCAAAGCCAUUACUGCUAGAAACGGCUCCUGAGGAUGAAGGCGAUGAACAGCUUCUAAAAACGGUGUCGUUUGUGUGAUGGGAAUGGCCAUUUUCAAUCUGGUCACUGAAGUUCUAAACGCGUGCAAUCAAGCCCCUGUGUAAAUUGUAAUUGGACCCCUUUAUUUCUGCGCUUUUUACAAGCUAAUCCUUGGAUUUUAAUUUUUCAAUCUUGACCCCAAACUUUAAUAUUUCUACAAUUAAGUCCCUGAAUAAGUUAAUUCCAAGCUUAAUUAAGUCUAAAACUUGUCAAUUCUUCAAUUAAACCCUAG
rnacentral:lncRNA from 1 species